GAUGAACGCUGGCGGCGUGCUUAACACAUGCAAGUCGAACGGAAAGGCUCCUGCUUGCAGGGGCACUCGAGUGGCGAACGGGUGAGUAACACGUGGGUGAUCUGCCCUGCACUUCGGGAUAAGCCUGGGAAACUGGGUCUAAUACCGGAUAGGACCAUCGUUUAGUGUCGGUGGUGGAAAGUUUUUUCGGUGUGGGAUGAGCUCGCGGCCUAUCAGCUUGUUGGUGGGGUAAUGGCCUACCAAGGCGUCGACGGGUAGCCGGCCUGAGAGGGUGUACGGCCACAUUGGGACUGAGAUACGGCCCAGACUCCUACGGGAGGCAGCAGUGGGGAAUAUUGCACAAUGGGCGCAAGCCUGAUGCAGCGACGCCGCGUGGGGGAUGACGGCCUUCGGGUUGUAAACUCCUUUCGCCAGGGACGAAGCGAAAGUGACGGUACCUGGAGAAGAAGCACCGGCUAACUAUGUG
rnacentral:rRNA from 1 species